rnacentral:tRNA from 1 species
CGGGCUGUAGCGCAGCCUGGUAGCGCACUUGCCUGGGGGGCAAGGGGUCGUGGGUUCGAAUCCCGCCAGCCCGACCA